rnacentral:tRNA from 1 species
AGCCCCGUCAUCUAGCUGGUCAAGGAUAACGGGCUCUGGACCCGUUGACGUCGGUUCGAAUCCGACCGGGGCUA